rnacentral:lncRNA from 1 species
GGGCUCAGGCCCAGAGUGCCAGCUUUGCCCUAUCCCAUAGCCUGGAGCCACCACAGGAGGGGCACUCCACUCUCUUGGGCUCCUGGAGCCUCAGAGGCAGGUACAGGAGAGCCAGCCGGGAGUGCAGGAGGGAGAACUUUCCUGUGGACGUCCUGUGUUCUCCAGACGCAGAGAACCCUCAUCAACCGAGGGGGAGGUCACUUCCGAAUCCACAGAUGGCGUGUGAGUGCAUGGCGAGCGCCUCCAGGACACACUUACUGUUCCCUUGCUCUGGCCAGACGCCAGCCGGACCCUGUGUGUGCGCGCCGUGCUGCUCUUUGCAGCUGCCUGCAAGGGGUUCCUGCGAAGACCAGCACCUUGGGGAAGAGCCUGCGGCUGAACUUGAACUCGCAGCUACCUGAGUCAGACCUGUGCUUUUUCACCUCUACGGAAGAUGUCAGAGCGUUUCCCUAGCAAUGUUUUAGAAGUUACUUCUGUCUGGAAAAAAAUGGAAAAAAUGGCAAAUUAUGUUAUGUAUAAUUUGAUAAUUUUAAAGAAUUAAUGAUGUAAUUAUUACUCAAACCC